AAUAUUGGACAAUGGGGGCAAUCCUGAUCCAGCCAUGCCGCGUGUGUGAAUAAGGACUUCGGAUUGUAAAGCACUUUAAGUUGGGAGGAAGGGCUUUAGGUUAAUACCCUGAAGUUUUGACGUUACCAACAGAAUAAGAACAGGAUAACUCUGUGCCAGAAGCCUCGGUAAUACAGAGGGUGCAAGCGUUAAUCGGAAUUACUGGGCGUAAAGCGCGCGUAGGUGGUUCAGUAAGAUGGGUGUGAAAUCCCCGGGCUUAACCUGGGAACUGCUUUCAUAACUGCUGAGCUAGAGUACGGUAGAGGGUAGUGGAAUUUCCUGUGUAGCGGUGAAAUGCGUAGAUAUAGGAAGGAACACCAGUGGCGAAGGCGACUACCUGGACUGAUACUGACACUGAGGUGCGAAAGCGUGGGGAGCAAAC
rnacentral:rRNA from 1 species